rnacentral:rRNA from 1 species
GAUGAACGCUGGCGGCGUGCUUAACACAUGCAAGUCGAACGGUGAAGGAGGAGCUUGCUCUUCUGGAUCAGUGGCGAACGGGUGAGUAACACGUGAGCAAUCUGCCCUUGACUCUGGGAUAACAGUUGGAAACAGCUGCUAAUACCGGAUACGAGACGUGACCGCAUGGUCAACGUCUGGAAAGAACUUCGGUCAAGGAUGAGCUCACGGCCUAUCAGCUAGUUGGUGAGGUAAUGGCUCACCAAGGCGACGACGGGUAGCCGGCCUGAGAGGGUGACCGGCCACACUGGGACUGAGACACGGCCCAGACUCCUACGGGAGGCAGCAGUGGGGAAUAUUGCACAAUGGGCGAAAGCCUGAUGCAGCAACGCCGCGUGAGGGACGACGGGCCUUCGGGUUGUUAACCGUACUUUAGUCUAAGGAAGAAGCGAAAGUAGACGGUACUGUCAGAAAAGACGACCGGCUAACUACGUAGCCAGCAGCCGCGGUAAACG